AUUGCUUCUGCACCUCUCUUAACUUAAUAGUGUGAAUGGUGUUUGGUAGAUUUCAUCUUAAGUUGGUUGAGUCAUAAAGCGAAAGUGAAGCCUGUGUGUAUAAACUCUCGUGUGAGACGCAGACAGAAUCAGACUGGAACACAGAAGACGAACAGAGCGCAGAAUCACAACCAUGUAUGCUGUAUUUGCAGUGCAACUGUUCAUUCUGGUUUGGACCUUUACUGCUGUCUGUGGAGGUGUUUAUGAUUGCUGCAAUGUAACCUGUAGUGAUGUGACUGGAACUGUGAGCAAUGAAGUCACUUUCAACUGUAGUGUCCCUCAGUCCUGUGAUGGAUGCUCCAUUGAAAAUUACAAGUUGAUAUACCCUGAGAGCUAUAAAAACUCAACAACUUGUGAUCAAGAGCUUCCUAAUAGCUUCAAAUGCAGCCACCGUCCAACUGCAGAAAUAGAAGAACAAUUCAAAUUCUUUGUGCAAACACAGCAUGGAUUUUCCUAUCCACAAUUCUAUGUGAACAUAUCAGAACCAUUAGUAAAAGCAGAUGGAUCUAAGGAUACUGUCAUAACGCCAGUGGUGGCUGUAUUCAUCACCAUCAUCAUCCUCAUCAUAAUCUUAAUGAAAAUCAUUUACAAAAAGCACAAUAAUGACAACAGUAAUUGUCCAAAAAUAUCACUGAUAUAAUAUCAGUGGGGUGCUCAUGAAAGAUAAAAGCUUUAUUUAAACAACACUAAACUCAAUACUCUAUAAUCUAUCUGUUACAUCUUAAACUACUGAAUACAUAACUCAGGUUGUUAGUUUAAAACGCUGCUUCUGUUUUAUUUUGAUUUGUGUGAAAUAACAGUAUAUAAUUGUGAACAGUAUAUUAUUGUUCAAUUACUGUUUGAUCAGUGUGUAUAUUUGUAUAUGUGACUGUAAUGAACUCAAGCCUCUGUGAACUUUAUGAGGAAACACAGCGAAACUCAAACUGGUUUUGGUUUUGCUUUUUAGUACUUUCAGUGAAUCUAUAAUGAAGUAUUGUGCAGGUCAUUUGAAUAGUUUGGAAAUGUUUUUGUUGUUGUUGUUUUUGGCACAUGCAUAUGUUUAAUAGUGUGAAUGCUGUGGUUUUGUACAGGGUCUUGUUUUUAAGAACAUUGAACUGAAUAAAGACUUGUGAUACUCUCUACAGAUGAAUAUCUAUAUCCUCUUGUUUAUGGGUAAGCUUUUAAACUAAUAAAGUGGAUGAAUGGUACA